rnacentral:rRNA from 1 species
GACGAACGCUGGCGGCGUGCUUAACACAUGCAAGUCAAACGGAAAGGCCCUGCUUUUGUGGGGUGCUCGAGGGGCGAACGGGGGAUUAACACGUGAUUAACCUGCCCUUGACUUUGGGAUAACUUCAGGAAACUGGGGCUAAUACCGGAUAGGAGCUCCUGCUGCAGGGUGGGGGUUGGAAAGUUUCGGCGGUUGGGGAUGGACUCGCGGCUUAUCAGCUUGUUGGUGGGGUAGUGGCUUACCAAGGCUUUGACGGGUAGCCGGCCUGAGAGGGUGACCGGCCACAUUGGGACUGAGAUACGGCCCAGACUCCUACGGGAGGCAGCAGUGGGGAAUAUUGCACAAUGGGCGGAAGCCUGAUGCAGCAACGCCGCGUGCGGGAUGACGGCCUUCGGGUUGUAAACCGCUUUCGCCUGUGACGAAGCGUGAGUGACGGUAAUGGGUAAAGAAGCACCGGCUAACUACGUG